rnacentral:tRNA from 1 species
GCGAUGGUGGUAUAGUGGUGAGCAUAGCUGCCUUCCAAGCAGGGGCCAGGUGACCUGGGUUCAAUUCCCAGCCAUCGCA